UUAAAUGAAGCAUUUAUUGCAUUUAACUGUUAAUUAAAAGAAAACUAUUUUUAGUCAUUUAAA
rnacentral:tRNA from 1 species